AGAUUGAACGCUGGCGGUAUGCCUAACACAUGCAAGUCGAACGGCAGCGCGGGUAGCAAUACCUGGCGGCGAGUGGCGGACGGGUGAGGAAUACAUAGGAAUCUACCCUGUCGUGGGGGGAUAACGUAGGGAAACUUACGCUAAUACCGCAUACGACCGAGAGGUGAAAGCGGCGGACCGCAAGGCGUCGCGCGACUGGAUGAGCCUAUGUCCGAUUAGCUAGUUGGCGGGGUAAUGGCCCACCAAGGCGACGAUCGGUAGCUGGUCUGAGAGGAUGAUCAGCCACACUGGAACUGAGACACGGUCCAGACUCCGUACGGGAGCAGCAGUGGGGGAAUAUUGGACAAUGGG
rnacentral:rRNA from 1 species